GUGUUUUUCAUAGUAUUAGAUAAAAGAUUAGUAGUAAAAGAUUGUAUUCGCUUGGGAUAAGUAAAUACGUCGAAAACAGAAGAGUCUGUUUUUUUGAUAAAUGUGUUAUUAGCAUCGGUUCUUUCGGACCGAUGCUUUUUUCUU
rnacentral:sRNA from 1 species